UUCUACACUCACUCAACUUUUUUUUAUUUGUUCAUUAGCAUCAGGUUUUGUAGGAGUUGACAUCAACCAGCAGGACAAAGAUAAAACCUGAAGACGAGGCUGCACAUUUGUCUCCUUGUGCAAAUUGUGGAUUUGAUGUGAAAUGCAUGAAUUCCUUUAAAGUCCAGCUGAUGUUUCUUCAUUGUUUGGAUUGUGUCACUUCAGCUGACUCACCUCAACUCCUUUAUAUAGAAGUCGACGCUUCCUGCAGACGAUGACCACAUGAGGACGAUGACCACAUGAACCAGACCGAAAAAUGAAAAGCAUCAAAGUUGAUGGAAAUCCCACGUUAGUGUGUGUUCAUCAGUCCUGAGGAAGAAAUCCCAUCACCAUGGAGAUGGAAGAAAUGGAAAUAAAUGAAUACAACAAAUAUCAGCUCACCAGCCACUUCCUCCUCAUCAGCUCAACUCCACUCACCUGUUCACAGCAGCUGCACCUGAUCACUAAUCAGCCCACUAUAUAAACUCCUCUCCAGCGUGCAGUCACUGCCAGAUUGUUCUACGUCACCAGUUCUAGUCUCUCCAGUGGUUCCCUGGUACCGACCCUGCCUGUCCCCGACCUGCCUGCUCUGUCUCUGCCCUGGACAAUGGAUUCUGCCUGACGUCUGCCUGCUCCCUGCCUGACGUCUGCCUGCUCCCUCCCUGACGUCUGCCUGCUCCCUGCCUGCCUCACGGUACGGACCUCAGCCAUUGAACUAUCGCUGACCCUUGUGUUAAAUAAACAUCAUUACCAACUGUC